rnacentral:lncRNA from 1 species
UGAGGUGGCAAAGUUUGCAGAUGAUACUAAAGUGCUCAAGAUAAUUAAGACCAAAGCAGACUGUGAAGAACUUCAAAAAGAUCUCACAAAACUAAGUGAUUGGGCAACAAAAUGGCAAAUGAAAUUUAAUGUGGAUAAAUGUAAAGUAAUGCACAUUGGAAAAAAUAACCCCAACUAUACAUACAAUAUGGUGGGGGCUAAUUUAGCUACAAUGAGUCAGGAAAAAGAUCUUGGAGUCAUCAUGGAUAGUUCUCUGAAGAUGUCCACGCAAUGUGCAGAGGUGGUCAAAAAAGCAAACAGGAUGUUAGGAAUCAUUAAAAAGGGGAUAGAGAAUAAGAUGGAGAAUAUAUUAUUGCCCUUAUAUAAAUCAAUGGUACGCCCACAUCUCGAAUACUGUGUACAGAUGUGGUCUCCUCAUCUCAAAAAAGAUAUACUGGCACUAGAAAAGGUUCAGAAAAGGGCAACUAAAAUUAUUAGGGGUUUGGAACGGAUCCCAUAUGAGGAGAGAUUAAAGAGGCUAGGACUCUUCAGCUUGGAAAAGAGGAGACUAAGGGGGGAUAUGAUAGAGAUAUAUAAAAUCAUGAGUGAUGUGGAAAAAGUGGAUAAGGAAAAGUUAUUUACUUAUUCCCAUAAUACAAGAACUAGGGGUCACCAAAUGAAAUUAAUAGGCAGCAGGUUUAAAACAAAUAAAAGGAAGUUCUUCUUCACGCAGCGCACAGUCAACUUGUGGAACUCCUUACCUGAGGAGUUUGUGAAGACUAGGACUAUAACAGCGUUUAAAAGAGAACUGGAUAAAUUCAUGGAGGUUAAGUCCAUUAAUGGCUAUUAGCCAGGAUGGGUAAGGAAUGGUGUCCCUAGCCUCUGUUUGUCAGAGGAUGGAGAUGGAUGGCAGGAGAGAGAUCACUUGAUCAUUGCCUGUUAGGUUCACUCCCUCUGGGGCACCUGGCAUUGGCCACUGUUGGUAGACAUGAUACUGGGCUAGAUGGACCUUUGGUCUGACCCGGUACGGCCGUUCUUAUG